CUGUAUAGGGUAGGGGUCGCUGCAAAGGUAGACCUGUCAGAUUAGUCUUCAAAACAUCCAUUACCGGGAAAAAUUAUAAACAGAAAUUUUUUUGCACAAACUGAUCCGAAGCAGCUGCAGCCACCAACAGCAACUAGCAACAACAAAUUUCUUGGAAACACAUAAUACAAUGAAAGUAAAAAAUGAGAUUACUUAUUUUAAACUACUUAUACAAAAUGUAUUUGGAAGGAGUUUUAAUAAAUCAGAAUAGUUCAGCAACA